rnacentral:rRNA from 1 species
AGUGGACGCUGGCGGUAGGCCUAACACAUGCAAGUCGAACGGCAGCACAGUAAGAGCUUGCUCUUACGGGUGGCGAGUGGCGGACGGGUGAGGAAUACAUCGGAAUCUACUUUUUCGUGGGGGAUAACGUAGGGAAACUUACGCUAAUACCGCAUACGACCUACGGGUGAAAGCAGGGGGUCUUCGGACCUUGCGCGAUUGAAUGAGCCGAUGUCGGAUUAGCUAGUUGGCGGGGUAAAGGCCCACCAAGGCGACGAUCCGUAGCUGGUCUGAGAGGAUGAUCAGCCACACUGGAACUGAGACACGGUCCAGACUCCUACGGGAGGCAGCAGUGGGGAAUAUUGGACAAUGGGCGCAAGCCUGAUCCAGCCAUACCGCGUGGGUGAAGAAGGCCUUCGGGUUGUAAAGCCCUUUUGUUGGGAAAGAAAAGCAGCAGGUUAAUACCCCGCUGUUCUGACGGUACCCAAAGAAUAAGCACCGGCUAACUUCGUG